AUUCCUUUCUUCUCUCUCUCUAAAAAAAUCAUCUCGUGGUUUUUGUGUGUCUAAUACUCACAAAUUAAUCUUCAAUUUCUUUUUUUUUUUUUUUUUUUUUCUUUUUUUUUUGUGGGCGGUGGUCGGCCGGUGAGUCUGGCUGAGUUAGGUGUUGGACUCGGCGGUGGAGGUGGCGGCGGCGAAAGAUUGAAAUUUAAAGGUUGUAUUAUGGGUUUUUGGCAUCAGAUGAUUUUUCCGGUACGGCGGGUUUGGCUCGCCGUUUAUGGCCGUCUAAAAGCUCGAAGAAAUGAUGAAGGAUUGCUGAAGCUUCAUGAUGAUGUAGAAACUUGUGGGUAUCAAGAUGUAAAGGUUAUGUGGGAAAUACUAAGGAGAUCAGAAGCUGAAUUAAUAAAUCAUGAUCCACAAAUGAGGCGCAAACACAAGCCAUUUUGGAAGGCUUUGGUGUGGUCUAACCCUAACUCUAACUCAUCCACUAAUAUACCUAAAAUGACAAAUUUUCCAACUUUUGGCCCUAUUUCAUAGGGAAGACAAAGUUCAAGUACUACUCUCCCCUUUCAUAAAAUGCAUCAAACAAAUAAAUGUAAAAAUGAUCUCGAUGUUGUUGUAUCUUUAAUUUGGCACUUUUAGGUCAAAUUGUGUCGAGAGAGUGAAUUGUUGUAAAUAGAAAUAAUAAUAAUUGCUUCUAAAAGGUUUCCAAGAUAAAAAUUAAAAAAAAAAAAAAAAAAAGCUCAAAUUAAUGUUUGGGAGUCGCGUGAAAAA